AGUACUUAGGCAUGAUGCAAGACUAAAUAUCAGGAAGAAAUAAACGUGAAUCAUUGUAGCUUUAUGUAAUUCGCAAAAUAUAUAUAGUGUUCUAGUUUAUAAGUGAUCAAUAAUCAUACUGCAUAUUUGGAUUUGCAUUUUUAAAUCAUGAAGAAAACCAUUUUUGCAAUCAUUUUGCAUUAAAUUAAACAUUUUACCGUUGCAUAUAACAUAUUAUUACCUUUGUUCUUUUGUUCUUUUGUACUUCUUUUUUUUUAUUAAUAAAUGGUAAUAAUCCAGGUCUUUCCACCCAUUAAUUUGCAGAGAAUGUUCUUUGUAAGAAACACAACAAUGUAAAGAAAUGUUUGGUGGUGUUACUGGCAUUGCUAAGUUUUUGACUUCUGUUGGUUUAUUUUCUAUUGUAACAGCUGGUUCACCAAACACAGAAAAUCAAUCAAAAGAAAAACCUAAAGCUGUCACCCUCUCAAGUUAUUCUGACCCAUUGCUCAUUGCAACUACACUCGAUGGUAAAAUCUCAGCAUUGAACAUUGCUGAUGGUGGAAAAUUGAAGUGGGUUGUGGAUUUGGGUCAUGGACCUUUGGUUUCAUCAUCUCUUGCAAAACUUGUUUAUAAAGAAGAUGGAAAAUAUGUGCGAUUGAUUCCUUCAUUACACGGGGGAUUAUUUCGCUUUGAUGGAGAAUCUGUCGAGGCUGUCCCAUUUGAUGCUGAUCAAUUAUUAAGCUCAUCCUUUCGGUUGGCUGACGAGACAGUGCUUGUUGGUGGGAAAGAGACAAGCACGAGUGGCAUUGAUGCCUUUAGUGGAAGAGUGUUAUACACCUGCACUGCCAAUGGAUGCGACAAACAACAAAAUGUCCACGAUGCUUCAGAUUUGUUGAUAGUGAAACGACAACAACAAGUUGUUCGUUCAAUCAUCAACAGAAAUGGACACGAAAAUUGGAACUUCAGUGUUGGUGAAAUCAACCUGGAUUUUUCUCAAGGAGCAAAUCUACAUCUGUUAGAGGAAUCAUCUGAACAUUCAAAUGAACAAUCAUACCAGAAACAGGACACCAAACAAACCCACACUGAGAGUGAUGAAUUCUCAAUGACGGAUGCUCAUUGUAUUAAAGUUGUCGUACCAGAUGGAAUGGUCUGUCUUGUGACGAGAAAAAAUGAGCAUGUAGUGAAAUGGAAGCAUAAACUUGGUUCUCCUGUAAGUGCAGCAUGGUUAUUAGUGGAUGGAGAACUGAGAAAACUUGAUUUAUUUGAUCCAAGUAUGGUCCCUGCAUUGGAUGAAAGCACAGCGGUGGCAAAGAAGGCACCUCAGAUUAACACAAUUUAUAUGGGAUCAUAUGACAACCAUGUUUACAUCCAAGCCUCACCUGCUGUACAGAAAUCUAUUGCUAUCAUCACUGCAAGUAAUAGAUACGGCAGUACAAAUGCAAGACAAAUGUCACCCAAGUUCGCCUACCGUCGUUGCCACGGUGAUAUGACACCAGUUGCCAUAGAAACCAACAAGGAUGACCCAACAACAGAGUUAGUGGUAAAAGGAAAACCUCCGCAAAAAGCAAACUGUGUUCAUGGGUUGACGCUCUACAAUGAGCAGUUUCCUAAUGAUGGAGGAUAUUAUUUACAAGAUGACUCGAGUUAUUUAUCGAGAAUACAAAGCUCGAAGAGGAUGGGAAGGAAUACUGUUGACUCAUUAGAGAAUGAUUCAUAUGACAAAUACAACAUAGAUAUCGUAUAUUCUUCAUUCAUGCACUGGUGGAAGGAACUUCUUAUAUUAACUGUGUCGGUUUCAAUUUUUGUGCAAUGUCUUAUCAACAAGUGCAUGCAAGCCUUCAAGUCUCGAUCUACAAAUGAAACAACGACAAGUUUAUAUGAAUCACCACCAGAACAUCCCCCUCCUGUUUGUGAGGUGGAGAGAGAAUACGAAUCAAGAUUCUUGACUGAUUUUGAACCUUUGGAAUGCCUUGGAAAGGGAGGAUUUGGAAUCGUAUUCAAGGCAAGAAAUAAAAUGGAUGAUUGCACAUAUGCUGUGAAACGAAUUCUUCUUCCUAACAAUGUAAGUUCUCGGGAUAAAGUCUUGCGAGAAGUGCGAGCGCUUGCAAAGUUGGACCAUCCUGCCAUAGUGAGAUAUUUCAACUCGUGGAAUGAAGAACCUCCAGCAGGGUGGCAACAAAAGAGAGAUGCUCACCUUAAAGAUAUGAGUGCUUGGAGCAGCACUGCGUUUCCCAACACAAGUGAAAAACCAAUCAGCAAGAGGAAUAAACAUUCUACUUCAAGUGGGACUGGUCAACAAAGCACAGAAUUAUCAUCAAGUAACCACAUACAACAUGAUGAUGAUGACGUCAUAUUUGGGUGUGGUACAACUCAAGGAUUUGUUGUUGAUAAGACAACAGAGAAGACAAGUGACAGUGGAUUGUUUGAUGAUCAACAUAACGAUAGUUGGGGUAACAAGGAUGAAACAUGGGGUGAUGAACCCGUUGAAAUGAGAUCCAACAUAGGGGGAAAGUUUUUCCAAAGUGACAGCUCCCUCCCCUCAGUCUCUGGAAGUAUCGUACGAAAUCGGAACAAUAAUAGUUCACCCAGAGCUUCUGUUCCAUUUGGAAGAUACAUGAUGCAAGAUUCGCUGAGUGUUGUGUUUGAUGAUCAAGUUUCAAAUGCAGAGAAUUUCAGAACGAAUAAUAAGGUCAAUGAUAAUAAACCACCAAGCUAUGAAAGUUUGUUUUCCAACGCUGCUGUAAGAAGACGCCCAUCAGCAAAAGCAACAGACACCAGCACUUCCGAAUUAAAGGCAGUGGUUUGUAUGCAAGAUGCGAGCACAGGACACCAGGGAAGACUUGGUCAGCAUAAUGAUGAAGACACCCACCCACAAGACAACACAAUAUAUCUUUACAUUCAAAUGCAACUUUGUAAGAAAGAAAGCUUGAGAGAAUGGCUUGCUGCUAAUGUGGAGAAAAGGGAUUUCCACUACUGCUUGAAUAUCUUUCAACAGGUUGUCAGUGCAGUUGCCUAUGUACACGACUCUGGGUUGAUUCACCGUGAUCUAAAACCAUCCAAUGUUCUCUUCUCACUUGAUGGGACAAUAAAAGUUGGUGACUUUGGGUUGGUAACACACGCUGGAGAGGGAGAUCCGUUUUUUAACGUGGGAGAACUACCAGAGGCGAUACUUGGUAAAGCAGAUGACAAACAUACACAAAGAGUUGGCACGAGAAUGUACAUGGCUCCUGAGCAAGUAGAUGUCCAGCAGCACAUACAGUGAAAAGAUCGAUAUAUUUGCACUUGGUUUGAUAUUUUUUGAGCUCAUUCACUCGUUUGGAACACAAAUGGAAAGAAUUCUUCAUCUUUCUGAUGCAAGAAAACUCAAGUUUCCCAUUCAAUUUUUAAACAACUACCCGAAAGAGUCCAAGCUGACUCAUCAAAUGCUGAGUCACAAAGCAAGUGACCGACCUUCAGCCAACGAAGUGAAUGAACAUGAAGUAUUCACAGAAGUUUUGGACUUACAACAAUCAAGGUCCCGGCAUCGAACGACGUCAUCCAGAAGUUCUGACUCCACUUCAAGCUAACAAUGUUUCACACUAUCUUGUUUCUGAAUUUAGUUGUUUUUGCACCAAAAUAAUUGUAUAAAUGCUCACUUGACACUUUUGCUUACACUGGUAAUUAAACUUUUUUGCUGAAAGUUUUUUGUUUAAUAUUAACUUUUGUUUACCUGAUGUGAACAUUGUUUUUCUACUUUUUGUUAUGUGUUUGCUUUUGUUCAGUUUAAUGUUAAUACUAUUUCAAAAUCACUGGCAUUUCAUUCUGUUAGGCUUGCAAUUGAUUUUAUCAUUGCUCUAAAUUGAAUUUUGCAAUUUACAGGUAUUUUACUGUAAUGCACUGAUGAGUGAUGAAUGUCCUUUUUUCCAUUCCAAAACGUAGAAUUGUGAAAAAGACCAAUAGCUUAAGACUGCCGAAAAGCAAAAAACAAAAUGUUUUUUUACUUGUUAAAUGUUGACUUGUUAUUGAUAAAUUUUUAUAAACAACCCUACCAGGCAAGGUCACAACAAAAUCUAAUUAAGCUCUUCUACCAAAUUUAUUUUUUGUACCAACAUAUUAUUUGAUAAGAAGUAUAUCAGCACUAAUAAAUUUUGAGGAAGAGCUUCGUUAGAUUUAUAAUAUGCCUCGUAGUAUCAGUUUAUAUUUUGAACAUCAACAUACAAUGCAUAUCCUACUCGAAUAAUAAAGUGUGUUGAGGUGCUUUUUAAUAUAAUCAAGUUCAUGG